UUUUUAUUUUUUUAUUUUAAUUGUUUGUAUUCAAAUUGUUUAAUAGAAAUAACUUUGUUUCUUUUUGUCUAAGUAUUUUUUAAAGAACUGAUUUUAUUAAUUAUAGUGAAUUAGUAAAGUAAUUGGACUAUUAAUUUUGAAUAAAAUUUUAAAAGUACUCUUAUUUUGAGGUACCUUUUGUAUCAGGGUUAAUAAAUAUUUUUGCAUUAAUAUUGCUAGUCUCGAUUUAGAUUGAUUUAUAAUUAAUUUUCCUUUUAUUGUGUCAAGAAUAUUUUAAAUUUAAUUAUAGAAGUGAAAUGUUAUUCGUUUUCUAAAAUAUCUAGUUUUUCAAGAUAAAAUUGAAUUUUUUAUGGUUUAUUGAUUAUUUGCUAUUUUUUGUUUUUAAUUAUAAACUUAUUAAUACUUUAGGGGAUAAGCUCUUAAGUUAUUAUUCUAUAAUUUUAAAAAAAUUAAUAAAAAGUAGGCUUUUAACCAGCUAUCUUUUUGAUUACGUUUUUGUUCAUUUUUUAGAUUUGUGAUUUUAUAAUGUUUUUAGAAUUUUUAUUGAAAUUUUUAAAUUAAUUUUGUAUUUUUUGUUAUAAUGAUUGAAUUAGUAUAUUUAUUUGUUUAUUGUUAUUUUAGUUGAUAAUUUAUUUUAAGGAACUAGGCAAAUUUUCUCUUCGCCUGUUUAUCAAAAACAUGUCUUUUUGAUGAUAAUUUGAAGUCUGACCUGCUCACUGAAUAAUAUUUUAAAUAGCCGCGGUAUUUUGACCGUGCAAAGGUAGCAUAAUCAUUAGUUCUUUAAUUGAGGGCUGGAAUGAAUGGUUUGACGAGAGGGGGACUGUCUCAAUUUUAAUUAAUAAAAUUUAACUUUUAAGUCAAAAGGCUUAAAUUUAACUUUAGGACGAGAAGACCCUAUAGAGCUUUAUAAGUUAAUUAAAGUCAUUUUUUUGUUGAUUUAUUUUGUUUGUUAAUUAAUUUAUUUUGUUGGGGUGACAUGAAGAAUAAUCAAACUUUUUAUUUUAAUGUCAUUUAUUUAUGAAAGGUUGAUCCAUAAUUUGUGAUUAAAAGAUUAAGUUACCUUAGGGAUAACAGCGUAAUUGUUUUUUAGAGUUCAUAUCAACAAAGCAGAUUGCGACCUCGAUGUUGGAUUAAGAAAAGUUUUAGAUGUAUCAGUUUAGAAACUAGGUCUGUUCGACCUUUAAAUUCUUACGUGAUCUGAGUUCAAACCGGCGUAAGCCAGGUUGGUUUCUAUCCAAAGUUUAUUUUUUUGUAUUAGUACGAAAGGACCAUAUAAUUGGAAUAUUUCUUUAUCUAUUGAUUAAUAUUAAUUU
rnacentral:rRNA from 1 species